rnacentral:tRNA from 1 species
GGCCUUGUGGUGCAAAGGUAGCGCGUCUGACUCCAGAUCAGAAGGUUGUGUGUUCAAAGCACAUCAAGUUCA